rnacentral:tRNA from 1 species
GCGGGCGUAGCUCAGCUGGUUAGAGCGCCUCCCUGUCACGGAGGAGGUCGCCGGUUCGAAUCCGGUCGCUCGCG